rnacentral:rRNA from 1 species
GACGAACGCUGGCGGCGUGCUUAACACAUGCAAGUCGAACGGAAAGGCCCUGCUUUUGUGGGGUGCUCGAGUGGCGAACGGGUGAGUAACACGUGGGUAACCUGCCCUUGACUUUGGGAUAACUUCAGGAAACUGGGGCUAAUACCGGAUAGGAGCUCCUGCUGCAUGGUGGGGGUUGGAAAGUUUCGGCGGUUGGGGAUGGACUCGCGGCUUAUCAGCUUGUUGGUGGGGUAGUGGCUUACCAAGGCUUUGACGGGUAGCCGGCCUGAGAGGGUGACCGGCCACAUUGGGACUGAGAUACGGCCCAGACUCCUACGGGAGGCAGCAGUGGGGAAUAUUGCACAAUGGGCGGAAGCCUGAUGCAGCAACGCCGCGUGCGGGAUGACGGCCUUCGGGUUGUAAACCGCUUUCGCCUGUGACGAAGCGUGAGUGACGGUAAUGGGUAAAGGAGCACCGGCUAACUACGUG